rnacentral:RNase_P_RNA from 1 species
GGCCGGAGGAAAGUCCGGGCAACAUAGAGCACCAUACUUGUUAGCGGAAAGCAGCGGGCGACCGCUGAGACAACGUGACAGGAAACAUCCGGCAACGUCAGGGCGCCCCCGAUGCCGCAACGCAUCGCCGGCCCCUGUCACGGCAAGGGUGAAAAGGCGGGGUAAGAGCCCACCGGGCGCCACCGCGAGAUGGCGCGCCGCACGUCUGAUGGGUUGCAAGGUCAAGUAUACCGGCAUUUAAGGGCUGCUCGUCCAUUGCCGGGGGGUAGACUGCUGCCGCCCCAGCGCGGUUAGCGACCGUGGCAACACGGCGUAGAGAUAAAUGACAGACCGGCACAGCUCCAAGGCGCGUGCCGACAUAACCCGGCUUAUAGCCAGACUGCAAUC